AUUAUGUCAUGCAUAAUACUAACAAAUAAUUGUUUGGUUUCAUCCAUAUGAGUUUACAAUUCAAUUCAUAAUAACUAAUUGAAAUCAAACAUUAUGUUAUUUCUAAUUCAACGAUUAUCAAAUAUAAUCGGCAUAUGACCAAUUUAUAUACAAAUCAUUCAUAUAUUGUACUUCUCCUCUUCCUCCUCUCCAUUCCACACCC
rnacentral:lncRNA from 1 species